rnacentral:rRNA from 1 species
UAGUUUGAUCCUGGCUCAGGACGAACGCUGGCGGCGUGCUUAACACAUGCAAGUCGAACGAGGUCCAUCCAGUGGCAACACUGGUGAAGAUCUAGUGGCGAACGGGUGCGUAACACGUGAGGAACCUGCCCCGGACUCUGGAAUAACAGUGGGAAACCACUGCUAAUACCAGAUGUCUCCACCAUCUCGCAGGGGAAGGUGAAGAAAGAUUUAUCGGUUCGGGAGGGUCUCGCGGCCUAUCAGCUUGUUGGCGGGGUAACGGCCCACCAAGGCGUCGACGGGUAGCUGGUCUGAGAGGAUGAUCACCCACACUGGGACUGAGACACGGCCCACACUCCUACGGGAGGCAGCAGUGGGGAAUCUUGCGCAAUGGGCGAAAGCCUGACGCAGCAACGCCGCGUGGGGGAUGAAGGCCCUCGGGUUGUAAACCCCUUUCAGCAGGAACGAAAAUGACGGUACCUGCAGAAGAAGGCCCGGCCAACUACGUGCCAGCAGCCGCGGUAACACGUAGGGGCCAAGCGUUGUCCGGAUUUAUUGGGCGUAAAGAGCUCGUAGGCGGUUCAGUUAGUCGGGUGUGAAAACUCUGGGCUCAACUCAGACACGCCACCCGAUACUGCUGUGACUUGAGUCCGGUAGGGGAGCAGGGAAUUCCAGGUGUAGCGGUGAAAUGCACAUAUAUCUGGAGGAACACCGGUGGCGAAGGCUCUGCUCUGGGCCGGUACUGA